rnacentral:rRNA from 1 species
UGAGGAAUAUUGGACAAUGGAGGCAACUCUGAUCCAGCCAUGCCGCGUGCAGGAAGACUGCCCUAUGGGUUGUAAACUGCUUUUAUACAGGAAGAAACCACUCUACGUGUAGAGUUCUGACGGUACUGUAAGAAUAAGGAUCGGCUAACUCCAUG